rnacentral:rRNA from 1 species
UAUGUGAUCGUCUCUCGCAUAUCAAUAAGCGGAGGAAAAGAAACUAACAAGGAUUCCCCUAGUAACGGCGAGUGAAGCGGGAAGAGCUCAAAUUUGAAAUCUUAAAGGGUUUCCCUUUACGAAUUGUAGUUUAAAGAAGUGUUUUCUGUUGAGGUUUUGGUAAAAGUUCUUUGGAAUAGGACAUCAUAGAGGGUGAGAAUCCCGUAUUUGACCUUUACUUUCAACUUUGUGAUACACUUUCAAAGAGUCGGAUUGUUUGGGAAUGCAGUCCAAAAUGGGUGGUAAAUUUCAUCUAAAGCUAAAUAUUGGCGAGAGACCGAUAGCGAACAAGUACCGUGAGGGAAAGAUGAAAAGAACUUUGAAAAGAGAGUUAAACAGUACGUGAAAUUGUCAAAAGGGAAGCGUUUGACACCAGUGUUGUUUUUCUGAAAAUCAAUUAAAGAACUGUUUAUGCUAAGUUGUUUAGACUUUAUCAGCUAACUGUUUAGUUUUGAGCUUUUCUUUAAUGCACUUUUCAGUUAACAAGUCAACAUCAAUUUCUUUUACUGUAAAAAAGCUUGAGGAAGGUGGCUUGAGAUUCGUCUUAAGUGUUUAUAGCCUCUUGCCUAUGCAGUCGGAGAGAUUGAGGUCUGCAGCGUAGAUCCUUCGGGGCUAAAUGCAUUUGUGCUAAGUUAUAGCAUUUUAUAGACAACUUGUUGACUAUGAUUUGUCUUGUAGCUUACUCGCUUAUGUUAUUUUACCUACGCUUAGGAUGUUGACUGAUAUGUAGUCGUA